AAUAACAAACAGCUGGUUCCAAUGAUAAACGAAAGCAUUAAGCCUUUCGAACCCAUAACGGUACGCGGUUAGAGCAAAAAAUUGGUCGAUCGACAGAACAUGAUGUUUUCUUCGGCAAAGACUACAGAAACGUUGCCUCUGUUCGUACUCGUUUGACCUCCCAGAAGAAGAAGUUUGCAGGGGCUCUCCGGAGCCAAAUGUCUCAGAGUCUGAAGGGAUUGGAAAUGGGUUGCCAGGCCAAGGCGGGACUUGUCCUCCCAGCAACAGGUGAUCAUGUUGAAGAAGUGGUUGAUGCAAUCAAGGUUGGGCAAGUUAUUGCAGUGCUGACCAACACCCUGUAUGGAUUUGCUUGUGAUGCAUGGAAACAUUAUCUGACUGUCCUCAAGUUGAUUGCCAUCCUAUACACUCUGAUGAAACAGAAUCAGGGUCUUCUGUAAGCUCCAAAGAGGUUGGGCAACCAAGUCCCGUCGCCUUGCUUGAGCUACCAUCAGAAGAGAAAGUCCAGUUUGGGAUGUUUCAAGAGGGCCAGUGCAGAACUUAAGGGUAGUUGGGGAAAAAAAUAAAGAUAUUGUAUUUCAUUCAUUCCAUAACAAUCAUUCUUUUGUUCACAUGUUCUACCCUUUACAAUUCACUUUCUUGUUGCAGAGCUCCAAAUUCAGCUUCAAUUUCUGCAGCUGGAGUCAGUUGAUGCAUAUGCAAAGAGAUCAGAGCUGCUCGUAUCAGGUGAUGUGGAUAUUAGAGGAGAUUGUCACUCCCUUCAACAGGCAGGAGAUACCCUACAAGAACUCAGGGAUGAAGAGGACAGAGACUUCUAAUACCUACUUGACUUUCUCAUUGAUUCUGGCAUUCAUGCUGCCAGGCAGGACAGGCUUUACAGUUCAUGCUACUGUCCAGAAUAUCCAGUAGGCCCAGGCAUGUUUAAAAAGCUUGAAAAGAAGUACAACAAGCUGGUGGCAUGGUCAAGAUCAGAGAAAAGGCUGUUUUUGAUCUUAUAAACAACAUUCUUGCUGAGAUCCUGGCCCCAUGCAUGGAUCUGCACCCAUGGGUGAAGUCCAACAGAAGGAUCAGGCCCACAUGGGGCUGUGAGGGGCUAGUUGAGAAGUUAUGGCAGAUAUUGGUUAAACAGCGGAAAGAACUGGAUGUAGGUAAUCCGGAGGAGAAGGUCCUGGAUUUUAAGUGGUUAGAAUGAGGAGAUGAUGGCGAUGUGGGAAGGGAGAUUGAGAAAAUGUUGAAGGAGGACCUUUUGGAAGAACUUGUUUCAGAGUUCAUUAGGUUAGCUUUUGGAAGAAAAUAUAUUUGGCAACUACAUGCUCCUGUCUAGAUGAUCACCGCCCGAAAUAGAAAUAGGAAGUUUCAUAUAUUCAGGAAUGUCUUGUGGGCUUUGAUCUGGCCAUGUUCUGGUCUAAUGGGUAUCAUCUACGGCCAUCAAAGUUCAGAAGGUUGUUAUAAGUCGUGUGUCAUCAUCUUCCGUUUGCUGAAGAGCUUAACCCCACUAGCAGGUGUUAAUGCAUCUUCUUCAGUACAAUUACCAAAGAAAAGCACUUGUUACUUCUGGGUUUAGCAUCGAACUGGUGAAGCAUCGCAUACCCAUCUUAUGCAGGUGGUGUGUGAUUUAGCUGAUAGCUGUCUUUGUUGGUCUGCCCUGAUACCUCACACCAAAAGCAAUUUUCAGCAGUGGUGAGAAUUUUUGGUGGUUCAAGAGAUGGAUAUGACUGUGAAUGUGUGCCUCAUUAUGGUUGGUCUAAACACAAUCAUUCGGAGCCAAAUAUGAAAUGCCUUAAAUCCUAAGUCUCUGACUGUGGUAUCUCACAAUAGUGAAGCAUGACAAAAGAAAUGCAUGGAGUAGUGAAAUAAAAAAUGAAAUGAUGAGGAUGGAGAACUAGCAAGACAAAAGGAGCCCAUAUUGAAGAAAAAAAUUGUAUAAUUUCGUUAUUUUAUGUCCAGCAAUUUUAAGUUGGCUAAAGUUUGUCUGUUUUUGUCCCUGUGCAGUGGGCUAGGUAGCUUGAGUUUAAUGUAUCCGGAUGCAGAACACUUGUGCUACAUGAAAUUAGCCUUGCUUUGAAAUA